GCGGGAGCGGCCGGGCCGGGCCGGGCCGGGGCCUCGUCUCGCUCGCCAUCGCCGGACAAAGCGCAGCCAAGCCCGGCUGGAAGGCAGAGCUCCGAAGCAGGCAGGACGGAGCGGAGCAAAAGAAUGCGGCUCUAUUCUCGCAAGGGAAAUUAUAAAAAAGUUCAUGUUCACGGUUCCCAUCCACAUGACCGACAGCGGCCAAUGGAAGGGCCGAACAACUCAUAAAGUUGUAUUGCAAAGUUGUAAAUUUUCAUAAACAACAACGGAUUUAUGACCCUUUCCCCAUCACUAAGAGGAGGCAGCUCUUACACCGGCGCCAUCUUACCACCGAGGCUGCCCCGACUUGGGGACGCAGGCCCCCCUAGAUAAAGCAGUCCAUGUUUCUUUGUCACCAAGCAUCUUUAUUUUUCUGUUACAUAAAACACGGUUAGCUGGGCAAGACAGGAAGCAUGCCUUCCCAUUCCUGGAACCCAAGCUAAAGCCUAAAGGGACAAGGGGGGACGCAGGACAACACAAGAGAUGAAGGGCAUUGAGAAGGGCAUUAGCCCUCCCCACCAGCUAUAAAGUUAGCUCAAGACAACACACCAUGCUACAAAGUCACCCCAUUAACACAUCCUUCCCAAGUCAAGACAUUGCCUUACAAAUGACCUCCAAGACUAUAUAAAUGACAAAAAAAAAAAAAAAACUCUUGUUCAAAUAUACAAUAUUUGCUAUUGUAGGAAAAGUCAGGGUGUACAUAUUCAACAUGGCUGGACAGUAGGACAUGGGGCCAGGGGAGGUGCAGGAGGCUGGGAGCAUCUCUGCAGUCCUACUAAGCAAAGCUAACCCAGAGGUCUGCAGCUAGCUUGGGAGUGCUCCCCUCCAGAAGUGGGAGUAAAGGGCCUGAACUUGGGGUGCCCAGACCAGAGAUGGAGGGAUUCUAGGUUGCAGCACUUAGAAUGCUUUGGAAUAAAUAUAUUAUUUUUCAAUUUAAAUAGAAGCCAAUACCCUGGUCCCCGGACCCCAGCGUCUUCUCAGUGCAGCCUCAGGGACCCCAAAGGCUGCUGGGCAGAAGCAAGAGGGGCCUGGCCGGGGAAGGGGCCGGCACUAGGUAGCAGGCGAGCCAGUGAGCACAAAAUAGGUAGUUUGGGGCGAGUAGGUAGUACUGAGAAAAUCAGGUCCUUGUCGGUAUGGGGGAGGUGCUGGGUGUCUGCCAGUGUUGGGACGCGUCUGGGCUUCCUGGGAGUGGAGGCCUACUGGGGACUGGGCCCAUAGGUAGUUUGGGGUUGCCUCUGGCCGAGGCCUGUGCUAGGUAGUAUUUUAGCCGUGCCAGUGCAGAACUGGGCGGCCGGGGUAGGGAGAGUGUCUGCUGGGAGUCCUUGGGACAGAGGGAUCCCCAAGGGGACCCAGUCUAGGCGGCUGCUUAGUCCAGAAAAGGUGGGAGCUGGGAUAGGUAAUGGGGUAGAUGGGUGCAGGUUGGGGAUUGUUUUUGUUUUUGUUUUUGUUUUUCACGUUUUCUUUUUAUUUUUUCCACUUUUGUAAAUAAAUUCAGUGAGUCUCUAAA